CCAACAACUCCGAUACUGGGGUCAGUGGCUGAGAGCGCAGCGGUGGACCCACUCGGGCUGGGACAAAGAAAGGCCUUCGGGGUGGGACAGGGCCAUCUGAAGAAAGACUUAGGAGACACCGGGACAGCGACGCUGGCCUCAGCAGCAGCCUUUCAUUUGAACAGACAAAAGGUGGAUCUGUACACAAACAUGUUAGAAAGAAUACAUGUGUCUGCUGGUGGAUGCUGGCUGGUGUAAAGUUGAGGAAAACCCUGGUUGGUCCAAAGCAGUGAGCAGAACGUUUUGACCUCUGUCCUUCCGGCACCGUGGAACUAUGGGAUCAGCCACUUUGGGAAAGGCAGCAUCUCUUGACGCUCUCUUAAAUGCGUGCAUUCAUGCAUUUGAUGACGAUGGGGAUCUGAAGGCCAACCUGCUUCCUCGCACCCUGCUGCUUAUGCAUCGCUGGUACAUUACAUCCUCAGAAAUGGUGGGAAAACUACUGAUGAUGUACCGCGAGAGCAAAGGUGAGACCUGCCAAAGAACCAGGCUGAAGAUUUGUUAUAUGAUGAGGUACUGGAUUGUGACAUUCCCUGCAGAGUUCAACCUGGACUUGGGUUUGAUCCAGAUAACAGAGGAGUUCAGGGAUGUGGCUGCUCAUCUGUCCUGUGAGGAGCAUUUGAAGCUACUCGACAUCUCCACCAUUCCCUCAUACGACUGGAUGCGUAAGUUGACCCAACGCAAAAAGCAGCCUAAGAAAGGAAAGGCCUCACUGCUUUUUGACCACCUUGAGCCAAUGGAGCUGGCCGAGCAUCUCACCUACCUGGAGUUCAAGUCCACACGCAGGAUAUCGUUUAAUGAUUACCACAGCUAUGUGAUCCAUGGCUGCCUUGUGGAAAACCCGACUCUGGAGCGCUCCAUAGCUCUGUUCAACGGAGUCUCGCAGUGGGUCCAGCUCAUGGUGCUCAGCAAGCUAACACCUCAGACCCGGGCAGAGGUUAUUACCAAAUACAUCCAUGUGGCUCAGAAACUACUGCAGCUGCAGAACUUCAACACUCUGAUGGCGGUGGUGGGGGGCCUGAGCCACAGCUCCAUUUCUCGAUUAAAGGAGACUCACUCUUAUCUGGCUCCAGAAGUUGUAAAGAUCUGGAGCGAGAUGACUGAGCUUGUCUCCUCCAACAACAACUACUCCUGUUACCGAAAGGCCUUCAAUGAAUGCCAGGGCUUUAAAAUCCCCAUUUUGGGUGUGCACCUGAAGGACCUGAUUGCAGUGCAUGUAAUAUUUCCUGACUGGGUUCAUGACAGCAGUCAGGUGAACUUAGUGAAGAUGCAUCAGCUCUAUAUGACAUUCAAUGAGCUGGUUUCAUUGCAAAGUGCAGUGGCCCAGGUGGAGCCCAACAUGGACCUCAUCUACCUGUUAACGCUUUCUUUAGAUCUUUACUACACCGAAGAUGAGAUUUAUGAGCUAUCAUUGCUAAGAGAACCACGUAACCCCAAAUCAUUGCAUAUCUCUCCAACAACUCCCAACAAGCCACUGGUUCCACUGGACUGGGCUUCUGGUUUCACCACCAAACCAGACCCUUCUGUAGUCAAUAAACACAUCAGAAAGGUCGUGGAUUCCGUCUUCCGAAAUUAUGACCAUGACCACGAUGGCUAUAUUUCUCAAGAGGACUUUGAGAGCAUCGCCGCUAAUUUCCCCUUCUUGGACUCAUUCUGCGUUUUGGACAAAGAUCAAGAUGGAUUGAUCAGCAAGGAUGAGAUGAUAGCGUAUUUCCUCCGGGCUAACCCACUGCUUCAGAGUAAGAUGGGUCCAGGUUUCAUCCACAACUUCCAGGAGAUGACGUACCUUAAACCCACCUUCUGUGAACAUUGCGCUGGAUUUCUCUGGGGAAUCAUCAAGCAGGGCUACAAGUGCAAAGACUGUGGUGUUAACUGUCAUAAACAAUGUCGGGAGCUGCUGGUCCUUGCCUGUAGGAAGCUGAUCUGCUAUGCUUCUCCAGCCAGACUGACCCACAGCUCCCUGCCCAGCAGCCCGGCAAUGCCCACCUGUAAAGAUGAUGAUGAGGUAUUUGAGUUCCCAUCCGUCACAUCAACACAUCCAGCUAUGGACACUCAGUCCAUCACCCUGAUGACUGGGUCAUCCCAGAAGAUCUCUGUGCGCUUGCAGAGGGCAACCACCAGCCAAGCCACCCAGACUGACCCCCUGUGGGCCGAACACAGCUGGGGGGCCACAGGUGGCGGCUCCCACACCUUUCCUAAAAUGAAAUACAGGACUAACAGAAAAACAUCUAAGAACAAAGGUUUUUCCCGCUGGGAAAUCCAGAAUGACAUGGGAGUUUCUUCCCGGUGUCACAUGGACUCUCAGGAUAAGUCCAAAGCCUCAGGAGAGCUUGUCCAGAACGGGAAUACUAACCGAGGGAAGGUCUGAACAACAAAAGAACAGCAAAGAACUUUCUUAAACCUGUUCAUCCUAAAGUGCCCCUGUGGGAUGCAGUUGGGGUCAAGCCACCACAUACUGUCAACUACAAGGACAGCUGACUUGGCCAUGUUGAUGUGGACCAGUCCCAUGGAUCCAGACAGCCCAUGGCAGCUUGGAGCAGGAAGCUCUUCUCUUUGGGGGAUGUCUUGGGCUGCCUGAGGUCCCCCUUAAGUGACCUUGAGCUAUCACGUCCUCUCUAGACUUGGACCCAGGUUUGCUGUGCGGACACCAUGUAGCUACUUGGAAGUACAUUUUAUGAGGUAUCUGGUAGAAGUCACAAAGAGGAAUAAUGGAUAAUGGACCCCCACUGUGAAUCACAUGGAAUAGCAGCUCCAUCCUGUGCAGGGUAAUUGGCUGGGGAUCAGUGAUCAGUGCACAUUACUACAAUGUAAUUUACUUUGGCGUUUGUUUCAGGAUGUACAGUACAACACUUGAAGAACUGAGAAGUAAUAUUUUUUCAAACUUCACAAAAGUGUAGACUGAAUUUCAGUUGCCCGCCAGUUAGUUUAUUUGAGCCCUUAUAUUUGAAUAUCAGACUAGGCAAAUAUGAAGUAAAAGCCUGAUCUAAGGAAAGCCAUCGUGCAAGUUUUUUUUUUUUUUUAACUUACAAAGUUGAUCAGAAAAUAUAUGGAUAUGGGAAAGUGUUUGAAUAUUUGUGUUUUGAUGCAUAAAGGGAACGUCAAAGUGAAGGUGAAUGUAAAGGAUAACCUUAACCUUUCCAACAAAUGUAACGUUGUAAUCUGUUAAAUUAUAUUUGAGUGUUCAUUGCCAAUAUUUUAAUGUAUUCUACAUAACCUGCAAUUGACAACUACAAUGUGAUUUAAAGGUGCAAUAUUUAAAAUUCAGAACAUUAAUAUAACCGCAAACUAUUUGCUAUUUAAAACUGCGCUCAGUGGAUUAAUGGCAUCUUGAUUAGAAAAUAAAGUUCUCGUUAUGUCUGCAUGGGAGCAGAUACCAUGGUGACUGGCUCCGCCCCCUUACCAUCAAAAAGAGCAGCGAGCAGAGAUUAACCGGAUCCGAGUCCCUCCGGCGUCAUCGCGUCUGUGCAUAGACUUCGUAUGUAAUCCUGAGGCGACUCAGUCGGUGGGAACAUACCAGGGUGCAUGCGUUUCACUGCAGAAAUAAGUGUUGGGCCUUUGGACUUCCUGGCCUGACCCUAGCAUUAGAAAAAGUGCAUCCUUGUUGAAAAAAUACACUGCCCUGGUUUCCCAAAAUAUAUAUUUUUAAAUUUGUUAUUUCCCAGAGUUGUAUCCGGAUGGACAAUAUAUAGAUGUAAAGAGAAUAGUAGCAAGUACAUUUAAAAGCAGUCACUGUUAUAGGUACAGCGCCACUGUAAAGUGUUGCUCUUGGAUUUAAAAAGGACCAUCCUGCCCUUUCUCAAAACAUUAAAACCAUUUUUUUUUUAAACACUUUGUUGUUAACAAGAUUCAACUGUUAGUAUAUUUGUUGGAUUACUAGCAGUAAACUUAAGGAAGCAUGAGUGAGACAUAGGUAGGGAGAUCCCAGGCCUUUUGUACUCAGUUUAAGUGGCAGCCAGGGGCCACAUAAACCGCUAUCUCUGCAUCAAGUCUUUCAUUAUGCCAAGUCCACGAGUACUGGGACUUCACUCGUGCACUACUUGACAUUGCAAAACAGUAAGUCAACUAGUUUUUCAAAAUGACUUCGUAUUGGUAAAAUUAAAGACCAUUUACAAACCAUUUUUGUAUUAAGAACUUUAUAUAAAAAAGAAAAUUCCAUUUGCAAGUAAUGGCAAAAAGAAUUUAAGUUACAAAACUGAACUGAUACUAAUCAAGCUUAGUUAGGAAGCAUUCAUUUUGAACUCAUCAACUCCACCAUCUGAGGGUGGAUGCUACCUGAUUUCCCUUAAACAUUUAAAAUUCCAAAACAAUUAAACUGAAGAAUAAGAAAAAAAAAACAUU